rnacentral:misc_RNA from 1 species
GAUGAAGAACGUAGCGAAAUGCGAUACUUGGUGUGAAUUGCAGAAUCCCGUGAACCAUCGAGUCUUUGAACGCAAGUUGCGCCCGAAGCCAUUAGGCUGAGGGCACGCCUGCCUGGGCGUCACACGUCGUUGCCCCCCCAUCUACUCCUUCGGGAUUGCGGGGGGCGGAUGAUGGCCUCCCGUGCGCCUCGUCGCGCGGUUGGCAUAAAUGCCAAGUCCUCGGCGACGCACGCCACGACAAUCGGUGGUUGCGAAACCUCGGUUGCCCGUCGUGUGCGGUCGUCGCGCAUCGAGGGCUCGAAAAAAUUGCCGGGCUCCGGCUCGGCUUUCAACGCGACCCCAGGUCAGGCGGGGUUACCCGCUGAAUUUAAGCAUAUCAAUAAGCGGAGGA